ACGUCUUCCGCCUGAUCGCCGAUGCGCAGGUCGACAUGCCCGACGAUGCCGGCGCAGGCGCGCACGUCGCCAUAGAGCCCGCUCGCCGUCAUCGCCGCGACACCGUUCACGAACUCCGUCUCUCCGACGCAUUUCAGCGCAUCCGGCCCAUCGGCGCGGUACAUCGCGCCGCACUCCAUAUAGAUCGUGCCGCGAAUGUUGUGCCCGCUCCUGAGGUCCUUCAGCAGUUCGUCGACCAGAUAGCGCGGCACAUUGCGGAUGAUGUCCAUGAACCCAUGAUCCGACGGCGGUAGAUUCUUCAAGAUCUCCGUCGGCCGGUCCCACAGAUGAUGAUGCGGAUCGACGAUCGGCAGAUCGGGUUCGAGGAUUUGUUCGG
rnacentral:misc_RNA from 1 species